CUUAUCUGGGCGCAAGGAGCAACCAAAUCGGUAGACAUUGCAUACAGGUUCUCAUUAGGCCUGAGACUGGUGGAGUGGAUGGUUCUGGAUAAAGUGGACACUGUCUCACUACGGGACUUUUAUUCCUGUUAUUCCUAACUGUGCAGUGGGAUGAUCACAAUUAGAGCAUGGUCAUGAGUGGGUCACUGUUUUUCUAUUCUUUUGUGCAUUUU